UGGCGGCAGGCCUAACACAUGCAAGUCGAGCGGUAGAGAGAAGCUUGCUUCUCUUGAGAGCGGCGGACGGGUGAGUAAUGCCUAGGAAUCUGCCUGGUAGUGGGGGAUAACGUUCGGAAACGGACGCUAAUACCGCAUACGUCCCACGGGAGAAAGCAGGGGACCUUCGGGCCUUGCGCUAUCAGAUGAGCCUAGGUCGGAUUAGCUAGUUGGUGAGGUAAUGGCUCACCAAGGCGACGAUCCGUAACUGGUCUGAGAGGAUGAUCAGUCACACUGGAACUGAGACACGGUCCAGACUCCUACGGGAGGCAGCAGUGGGGAAUAUUGGACAAUGGGCGAAAGCCUGAUCCAGCCAUGCCGCGUGUGUGAAGAAGGUCUUCGGAUUGUAAAGCACUUUAAGUUGGGAGGAAGGGUUGUAGAUUAAUACUCUGCAAUUUUGACGUUACCGACAGAAUAAGCACCGGCUAACUCUGUGCCAGCAGCCGCGGUAAUACAGAGGGUGCAAGCGUUAAUCGGAAUUACUGGGCGUAAAGCGCGCGUAGGUGGUUUGUUAAGUUGGAUGUGAAAUCCCCGGGCUCAACCUGGGAACUGCAUUCAAAACUGACUGACUAGAGUAUGGUAGAGGGUGGUGGAAUUUCCUGUGUAGCGGUGAAAUGCGUAGAUAUAGGAAGGGACACCAGUGGCGAAGGCGACCACCUGGGCUAAUACUGACACUGAGGCGCGAAAGCGUGG
rnacentral:rRNA from 1 species